CCAGACUCCUACGGGAGGCAGCAGCUAAGAAUAUUCCGCAAUGGACGAAAGUCUGACGGAGCGACGCCGCGUGGAUGAAGAAGGCUGAAAAGUUGUAAAAUCCUUUUGUUGAUGAAGAAUAAGGGGAAGAGGGAAUGCUUCUCUGAUGACGGUAAUCAGCGAAUAAGCCCCGGCUAAUUACGUGCCAGCAGCCGCGGUAACACGUAAGGGGCGAGCGUUGUUCGGAAUUAUUGGGCGUAAAGGGCAUGUAGGCGGCUAUGUAAGCCUGAUGUGAAAUCCUGGGGCUUAACCCUAGAAUAGCAUUGGGUACUGUGUAGCUUGAAUUACGGAAGGGAAACUGGAAUUCCAAGUGUAGGGGUGGAAUCUGUAGAUAUUUGGAAGAACACCGGUGGCGAAGGCGGGUUUCUGGCCGAUAAUUGACGCUGAGAUGCGAAAGUGUGGGGAUCGAACAGGAUUAGAUACCCUGGUAGUCCACACUGUAAACGAUGUACACUAGGUGUUGGGGCAAGAGCUUCAGUGCCAAAGCAAACGCGAUAAGUGUACCGCCUGGGGAGUAUGCCCGCAAGGGUGAAACUCAAAGGAAUUGACGGGGGCCCGCACAAG
rnacentral:rRNA from 1 species